CGCGAAGAACUUACCUGCUCUUGACAUCCAGAGAACUUACCAGAGAUGGUUUGGUGCCUUCGGGAACUCUGAGACAGGUGCUGCAUGGCUGUCGUCAGCUCGUGUUGUGAAAUGUUGGGUUAAGUCCCGCAACGAGCGCAACCCUUAUCCUUUGUUGCCAGCGGUCCGGCCGGGAACUCAAAGGAGACUGCCAGUGAUAAACUGGAGGAAGGUGGGGAUGACGUCAAGUCAUCAUGGCCCUUACGAGUAGGGCUACACACGUGCUACAAUGGCGCAUACAAAGAGAAGCGACCUCGCGAGAGCAAGCGGACCUCAUAAAGUGCGUCGUAGUCCGGAUUGGAGUCUGCAACUCGACUCCAUGAAGUCGGAAUCGCUAGUAAUCGUGGAUCAGAA
rnacentral:rRNA from 1 species